UGGGGAAUAUUGCACAAUGGGGGAAACCCUGAUGCAGCGACGCCGCGUGAACGAAGAAGGUAUUCGUAUCGUAAAGUUCUGUCCUAUGGGAAGAUAAUGACAGUACCAUAGAAGAAAGCUCCGGCUAAAUACGUGCCAGCAGCCGCGGUAAUACGUAUGGAGCGAGCGUUGACCGGAAUUAUUGGGCGUAAAGGGUACGCAGGCGGUUUAAUAAGUCGAAUGUUAAAGAUCGGGGCUCAACCCCGUAAAGCAUUGGAAACUGAUAAACUUGAGUAGUGGAGAGGAAAGUGGAAUUCCCAGUGUAGUGGUGAAAUACGUAGAUAUUAGGAGGAAUACCAGUAGCGAAGGCGACUUUCUGGACACAAACUGACGCUGAGGUACGAAAGCGUGGGGAGCAAACAGG
rnacentral:rRNA from 1 species